rnacentral:rRNA from 1 species
AUGCUGUCAUGUUAUUGCAGAGCAGGAGGGGGUCAAAGCAGAAGAAGCGCGAUGCAGUGCUUCCGGUUCGCGAGCUGGGACAAGGAGCGGGACAAGGAGGAGCUGCAGGUGCCUGCACGGUCUCAGUCGGCGCGUUCCAACAGCAGCAUCUCCACGGACCAUGACGCACGGCGGUCGGGCUCAGAGUGCUGCUCGCUCACCGUCUCGUCCGAGAUCAGCGUCGAGUCCUUUGGCCGGUACCGGCAGCUGUCGCUGCCGCAGCGGCCCAACAAUGACCUCCGCAUCUUCACCUUCCAGGAGCUCAAGAGCGCCACCCGGAGCUUCAGCCGUGCACUCAUGAUCGGCGAGGGCGGUUUUGGCUGCGUCUACCGCGGCACCAUCCGGAGCACCCUCGAGCCGCGCCGAAGCCUCGAUGUCGCCAUCAAGCAGCUCGGACGCAAAGGCCUCCAGGGACAUAAGGAAUGGGUGACCGAGGUGAACUUUCUUGGGGUGGUGGGUCAUCCCAACCUGGUGAAGCUCAUCGGCUACUGCGCAGAGGACGACGAGAGGGGGAUUCAGUUGCUGCUCGUCUACGAAUUCAUGCCUCACGGAAGCCUAGCUGAUCACCUGUCAACAAGAUCACCAAAGCCCGCUUCAUGGGCAAUGAGGCUGAGAGUAGCACUCGACACUGCUCGUGGUCUCAAGUACCUGCACGAAGAUUCUGAAUUCAAGAUAAUAUUCCGUGAUCUGAAGCCUUCAAACAUCCUGCUCGACGAGAACUGGAACGCAAAACUGUCGGACUUCGGCUUGGCUAGACUGGGGCCGCAAGAGGGAAGCCAUGUUUCAACAGCGGUGGUGGGUACUAUAGGGUAUGCAGCUCCUGAGUAUAUCCAUACAGGACGCCUCAGCAGUAAGAAUGACAUAUGGAGCUAUGGAGUGGUUCUCUACGAGCUCCUCACAGGCCGGAGGCCUCUGGACCGGAACAGACCGAGGGGUGAACAGAACCUUGUGGAAUGGGUGAAGCCCUACUCCUCCGACACCAAGAAGUUUGAAACCAUAAUGGAUCCAAGGCUCGAAGGGAACUACAGCAUGAAAUCGGCAGUCAGGAUUGCCUCGCUGGCAAACAAGUGCCUGGUGCGCCAUGCAAGGUAUAGACCUAAGAUGAGCGAGGUGCUGGAGAUGGUGCAGAAGAUUGUCGAUAGCAGUGACCUUGGAACACCAGAGCAUCCCCUGAUAAGCCAUUCAAAAGAAUUGGCUAGUGAUGAGAAAAAAAGGAAAGGCCUUGAUCUGAAGAGGAGGAUCGCUGGUAUUAAAGCUGGAGAUGGUAGAUGGCUUACAUGGCACAAGUGGACACCCAAGCUUGUGAGAACACAAUGA